rnacentral:rRNA from 1 species
GAUGAACGCUGGCGGCGUGCCUAAUACAUGCAAGUCGAGCGAACAGACGAGGAGCUUGCUCCUCUGACGUUAGCGGCGGACGGGUGAGUAACACGUGGAUAACCUACCUAUAAGACUGGGAUAACUUCGGGAAACCGGAGCUAAUACCAGAUAAUAUAUUGAACCGCAUGGUUCAAUAGUGAAAGACGGUUUUGCUGUCACUUAUAGAUGGAUCCGCGCCGCAUUAGCUAGUUGGUAAGGUAACGGCUUACCAAGGCAACGAUGCGUAGCCGACCUGAGAGGGUGAUCGGCCACACUGGAACUGAGACACGGUCCAGACUCCUACGGGAGGCAGCAGUAGGGAAUCUUCCGCAAUGGGCGAAAGCCUGACGGAGCAACGCCGCGUGAAUGAUGAAGGUCUUCGGAUCGUAAAACUCUGUUAUUAGGGAAGAACAAAUGUGUAAGUAACUAUGCACGUCUUGACGGUACCUAAUCAGAAAGCCACGGCUAACUACGUG